rnacentral:piRNA from 1 species
UGUGCACCCAGGCCCACAGUGUAAUAGC